rnacentral:lncRNA from 1 species
CAUCGGAUGUCAGGAAGAAAAUUGAAUAGAUUAGCAAUUAAAAUUUUUAUAACAUUUAUAAAAUCUUAUCUUGAUUCAUAGCAGAAGACUUGAUCAAGGUAGAAGAGGUUCCUCAAUCGAUUUGCUUCACGAGAUUCGGAUGCGCAGAUCCUCUACUUCGCACACACGCCAAGCAAUGUAGGAGAGAGGAAUGAAAAACUCUUCAAAAAAAAAUAAAGAGAGUCCUGAGAUCUAAUCUUAAAGUCUUGGAAGGAGCCCACACGCUACACCACAAGGGAUAGGGAGAAUGUCCAAGAAGAGAGAGACACCGAGGGAGAGGUGACGCCCAA